UACGGGAGGCAGCAGUGGGGAAUAUUGGACAAUGGGGGCAACCCUGAUCCAGCCAUGCCGCGUGAGUGAUGAAGGCCUUAGGGUCGUAAAGCUCUUUCGCCUGUGAAGAUAAUGACGGUAGCAGGUAAAGAAACCCCGGCUAACUCCGUGCCAGCAGCCGCGGUAAU
rnacentral:rRNA from 1 species